GAUGAACGCUGGCGGCGUGCCUAAUACAUGCAAGUCGAGCGAUCACAGGAGGUGCUUGUCCCUCUGGCGUAAGCGGCGCACGGGUGAGUAACACGUGGGGAACCUACCUUUAAGACUGGGAUAACUUCGGGAAACCGGUGCUAAUACCGGAUAAUAUCUUUAACCGCAAGGUUCAAGAGUGAAAGACGGCUUUGCAUCCCAUGAUCGCUGGAUCCCGUUGGCAUUAGCUGGUUGGUAGGGUAACGGCUAACCAAGGCAACGAUUAGUAGCAGACCUGAGAGGGUGACCGGCCACACUGGAACUGAGACACGGCCCAGACUCCUACGGGAGGCAGCAGUGGGGAAUAUUGCGCAAUGGGCGAAAGCCUGACGAAGCAAGGCCGCGGGGUUGAGGAGGGUCUUCGGUUGGUAAACCCCGUUUAUAGGGGAGGAAGUAAGUUGUAGUUAACUGUUCACGUAUUGACGGUACCUAAUCAGAAAGCCACGGCUAACUACGUG
rnacentral:rRNA from 1 species